rnacentral:rRNA from 1 species
UACGUAGGGUGCGAGCGUUGUCCGGAAUUAUUGGGCGUAAAGGGCUCGUAGGCGGUCUGUCACGUCGGGAGUGAAAACACGGGGCUUAACCCCGUGCCUGCUUCCGAUACGGGCAGACUAGAGGUAUGCAGGGGAGAACGGAAUUCCUGGUGUAGCGGUGAAAUGCGCAGAUAUCAGGAGGAACACCGGUGGCGAAGGCGGUUCUCUGGGCAUUACCUGACGCUGAGGAGCGAAAGCGUGGGUAGCGAACAGG